rnacentral:rRNA from 1 species
GAUGAACGCUGGCGGCGUGCCUAAUACAUGCAAGUCGAGCGAACAAACGAGGAGCUUGCUUCUCUGACGUUAGCGGCGGACGGGUGAGUAACACGUGGAUAACCUACCUAUAAGACUGGGAUAACUUCGGGAAACCGGAGCUAAUACCGGAUAAUAUAUUGAACCGCAUGGUUCAAUAGUGAAAGACGGUUUUGCUGUCACUUAUAGAUGGAUCCGCGCCGCAUUAGCUAGUUGGUAAGGUAACGGCUUACCAAGGCAACGAUGCGUAGCCGACCUGAGAGGGUGAUCGGCCACACUGGAACUGAGACACGGUCCAGACUCCUACGGGAGGCAGCAGUAGGGAAUCUUCCGCAAUGGGCGAAAGCCUGACGGAGCAACGCCGCGUGAGUGAUGAAGGUCUUCGGAUCGUAAAACUCUGUUAUUAGGGAAGAACAAAUGUGUAAGUAACUAAGCACGUCUUGACGGUACCUAAUCAGAAAGCCACGGCUAACUACGUG